UAAGUAUCCCGCCUGGGGAGUACGGCCGCAAGGCUGAAACUCAAAGGAAUUGACGGGGCCCGCACAAGCGGUGGAGUAUGUGGUUUAAUUCGACGCAACGCGAAGAACCUUACCAAGCCUUGACAUUCAGGUGGUGCACGGCUGUCGUCAGCUCGUGUCGUGAGAUGUUGGGUUAAGUCCCGCAACGAGCGCAACCCCUAUCUUCUGUUACGACUCAGGAGAGACUGCCGCAGACAAUGCGGAGGAAGGCGGGGAUGACGUCAAGUCAUCAUGCCCCUUAUGGCUUGGGCUACACACGUACUACAAUGGCUCUUAUAGAGGGAAGCGAGGAGCGAUCCGGAGCAAACCCCAAAAACAGAGUCCCAGUUCGGAUUGCAGGCUGCAACCCGCCUGCAUGAAGCAGGAAUCGCUAGUAAUCGCAGGUCAGCAUACUGCGGUGAAUACGUUCCCGGGCCUUGUACACACCGCCCGUCACACCACGAAAGUCAUUCACACCCGAAGCCGGCGUCGAAGGUGGGGGCGAUGAUUGGGGUGAGUGUAACAAGGAACCGAGGG
rnacentral:rRNA from 1 species